rnacentral:rRNA from 1 species
AACGAACGCUGGCGGCAUGCCUAACACAUGCAAGUCGAACGAUGGCUUCGGCCAUAGUGGCGCACGGGUGCGUAACGCGUGGGAACCUGCCCUUAGGUUCGGAAUAACUCAGAGAAAUUUGAGCUAAUACCGGAUAAUGUCUUCGGACCAAAGAUUUAUCGCCUUUGGAUGGGCCCGCGUAGGAUUAGGUAGUUGGUGGGGUAAUGGCCUACCAAGCCGACGAUCCUUAGCUGGUCUGAGAGGAUGAUCAGCCACACUGGGACUGAGACACGGCCCAGACUCCUACGGGAGGCAGCAGUGGGGAAUAUUGGACAAUGGGGGAAACCCUGAUCCAGCAAUGCCGCGUGAGUGAUGAAGGCCUUAGGGUUGUAAAGCUCUUUUACCCGGGAUGAUAAUGACAGUACCGGGAGAAUAAGCUCCGGCUAACUCCGUGCCAGCCGCCGCCGUAAUAC